UGAUGAACGCUAGCUACAGGCUUAACACAUGCAAGUCGAGGGGCAUCAGGAAGAAAGCUUGCUUUCUUUGCUGGCGACCGGCGCACGGGUGAGUAACACGUAUCCAACCUGCCCUUUACUCGGGGAUAGCCUUUCGAAAGAAAGAUUAAUACCCGAUGGCAUAAUGAUUCCGCAUGGUUUCAUUAUUAAAGGAUUCCGGUAAAGGAUGGGGAUGCGUUCCAUUAGGUUGUUGGUGAGGUAACGGCUCACCAAGCCUUCGAUGGAUAGGGGUUCUGAGAGGAAGGUCCCCCACAUUGGAACUGAGACACGGUCCAAACUCCUACGGGAGGCAGCAGUGAGGAAUAUUGGUCAAUGGGCGCUAGCCUGAACCAGCCAAGUAGCGUGAAGGAUGAAGGCUCUAUGGGUCGUAAACUUCUUUUAUAUAAGAAUAAAGUGCAGUAUGUAUACUGUUUUGUAUGUAUUAUAUGAAUAAGGAUCGGCUAACUCCGUGCCAGCAGCCGCGGUAAUACGGAGGAUCCGAGCGUUAUCCGGAUUUAUUGGGUUUAAAGGGAGCGUAGGUGGACUGGUAAGUCAGUUGUGAAAGUUUGCGGCUCAACCGUAAAAUUGCAGUUGAUACUGUCAGUCUUGAGUACAGUAGAGGUGGGCGGAAUUCGUGGUGUAGCGGUGAAAUGCUUAGAUAUCACGAAGAACUCCGAUUGCGAAGGCAGCUCACUGGACUGCAACUGACACUGAUGCUCGAAAGUGUGGGUAUCAAACAGGAUUAGAUACCCUGGUAGUCCACACAGUAAACGAUGAAUACUCGCUGUUUGCGAUAUACAGUAAGCGGCCAAGCGAAAGCAUUAAGUAUUCCACCUGGGGAGUACGCCGGCAACGGUGAAACUCAAAGGAAUUGACGGGGGCCCGCACAAGCGGAGGAACAUGUGGUUUAAUUCGAUGAUACGCGAGGAACCUUACCCGGGCUUAAAUUGCAGUGGAAUGAUGUGGAAACAUGUCAGUGAGCAAUCACCGCUGUGAAGGUGCUGCAUGGUUGUCGUCAGCUCGUGCCGUGAGGUGUCGGCUUAAGUGCCAUAACGAGCGCAACCCUUAUCUUUAGUUACUAACAGGUUAUGCUGAGGACUCUAGAGAGACUGCCGUCGUAAGAUGUGAGGAAGGUGGGGAUGACGUCAAAUCAGCACGGCCCUUACGUCCGGGGCUACACACGUGUUACAAUGGGGGGUACAGAAGGCAGCUAGCGGGUGACCGUAUGCUAAUCCCAAAAGCCUCUCUCAGUUCGGAUCGAAGUCUGCAACCCGACUUCGUGAAGCUGGAUUCGCUAGUAAUCGCGCAUCAGCCACGGCGCGGUGAAUACGUUCCCGGGCCUUGUACACACCGCCCGUCAAGCCAUGGGAGCCGGGGGUACCUGAAGUACGUAACCGCAAGGAUCGUCCUAGGGUA
rnacentral:rRNA from 1 species